GUGGGGAAUAUUGGACAAUGGGCGAAAGCCUGAUCCAGCCAUGCCGCGUGUGUGAAGAAGGUCUUCGGAUUGUAAAGCACUUUAAGUUGGGAGGAAGGGUAGUAACCUAAUACGUUGCUACUUUGACGUUACCGACAGAAUAAGCACCGGCUAACUUCGUGCCAGCAGCCGCGGUAAUACGAAGGGUGCAAGCGUUAAUCGGAUUUACUGGGCGUAAAGCGCGCGUAGGUGGUUCAGUAAGUUGGAAGUGAAAUCCCAGGGCUCAACCUGGGAACUGCUUUAAAAAGUGCUGAGCUAGAGUACGGUAGAGGGUGGUGGAAUUGCCUGUGUAGCGGUGAAAUGCGUAGAUAUAGGAAGGAACACCAGUGGCGAAGGCGACCACCUGGACUGAUACUGACACUGAGGUGCGAAAGCGUGGGGAGCAAACAGGAUUAGAAACCCCAGUAGUCC
rnacentral:rRNA from 1 species